rnacentral:lncRNA from 1 species
CAGGAUGGCAGAGAGGCCCCAGGAGCAGGCGGGGGUGAGCGUUGAGGUGCAAAUUGGUCGUAAACUUCGGCAGAUUGGAGACAAGUUCCACCAGGAUCACGUUGAACUGUUUAUGAGGCACCAGAGACAGAACCUACCCUUGUGGAUGCGCCUUUCGAUGGCCCUGUUCGGCUUUUUGUUUCCCAGGGAGGCCGUCGUCCCCCGCCUGAGAGGGGAGCACAGAUGAAGGGACUUCCUGCUGGCCCUUGUUUCCUAAACAAGGGAUCAUACUUUUUUAAGAGAUGGCACUGUAUGAUGGAACACGGGUUUUGGAUUUUGUUUUCGAACUGAAUAAUGAAGACGCGAUGAAGACACUGGUCACCGCUGGACGGAGACUGAUUACAAUUUUUUUUUUCUCGCUUUAUUUUUGUUUGUUUGUUUGUUUGUUUGUUUGUUUGUUUUUUGCCUCUCCAAGAAGCCAUUGCGUUUGAAGAGAUAUUUUCGAAAUAUUUGUAAGAUUACCUAUUUUGUACAGUAAACUGCUCUUUUUAUUUGGUAUCUCAAGUCUUGAAGGACCUCCAUCAUCAGUCAGGGGAUUGCCUUAUUCUCUCCUGCCACAGUAUCAAGAAAAUCAAUCAACUUUACAAGAUUAGGACAGACUGUGGACAUUUCUGUUACUGAAACCUUUUGAGGACUCCAGGCACAUGUCUAAUUUAUUCUCAUAAAAAAAAAAUAAGCCCUGUACUUACCCUCUACUGUUCCACACUGGUUAAUUUGAACAUGGUUGUCGUGACUCUGUGGCGGGUUAACACCAGAAUUUUACCAGCUUCCACUGUAGGCACGGCGACGUCCAGCAUCUCCAAUACCACUCAUGCUGUUAGAGGUGACCCACUGUGUACAUUCAGACACUGUCGAUUUAAAUACUUGAACUUAGGUGUGCUGAAGAUAUUUUUUUUUUUUUUUUUUUAGUCGAGCAAAUUUCAAGAUCUGACAUCAUCACGAUGUGACCACGUGUUUGUUGGAGCGUGUGCUUACAUUCAUUGUUGAAACCAAAUGAGCACAAACAGAAGCCUAGCAAGUCUCACUUGUGGGAUAACCAUCAGGGAACUGGGAACAAUCAAGACAGCUGAGAAGCUUUGGAUAAAAUAAUGUCACCAUUCUCCAAAGAUUUAUUCCUCUGGCUGGGUUGACAAUCGCAAUUUUUUUAAUUUUUGAUAUUAUUUUUUGCAUUUUUUUGCCCUCUGCUG